UGAGGAAUAUUCUGCAAUGGGCGCAAGCCUGACAGAGCAAUGUCGCGUGAAGGAAGAAAGCCUAUUGGUUGUAAACUUCUUUUCUCAAGGAAGAAGAUCUGACAUUACUUGAGGAAUAAGCAUCGGCUAACCCUGUGCCAGCAGCCGCGGUAAUACAGGGGAUGCAAGUGUUAUCCGGAAUCAUUGGGUGUAAAGCGUUUGUAGGUGGAUAUUUAAGUCUUAUGUUAAAUCUCUAAGCUUAACUUGGAACAGGCAGAAGAUACUGAAUAUCUUGAGUAUGAUAGAGGUAAAGGGAAUUUUCAGUGGAGCGGUGAAAUGCGUAGAUAUUGAAAAGAACACCAAGAGCGAAAGCACUUUACUGGGUCAUAACUGACACUCAGAAACGAAAGCUAGGGGAGCAAACAGG
rnacentral:rRNA from 1 species